AUUGAACGCUGGCGGCAUGCCUUACACAUGCAAGUCGAACGGCAGCACGGGAGCAAUCCUGGUGGCGAGUGGCGAACGGGUGAGUAAUAUAUCGGAACGUGCCCAGUCGUGGGGAUAACGUAGCGAAAGCUACGCUAAUACCGCAUACGAUCUAUGGAUGAGAGCGGGGGAUCGCAAGACCUCGCGCGAUUGGAGCGGCCGAUAUCAGAUUAGGUAGUUGGUGAGGUAAAGGCUCACCAAGCCGACGAUCUGUAGCUGGUCUGAGAGGACGACCAGCCACACUGGGACUGAGACACGGCCCAGACUCCUACGGGAGGCAGCAGUGGGGAAUUUUUGGACAAUGGGCGGCAAGCCUGAUCAGCAAUGCCGCGUGCAGGAUGAAGG
rnacentral:rRNA from 1 species